AAAUUUAAAAUGGUUAUUUCAUCUGGGCACUCUUGUGAUCUGGAGUCUGUGGGAGUGAGAGUUGCUCAGGGAUAGGAGCUGUGAGCGGUGUUAGAAAAGCCCUGACAAGCAUCUAUUUGUGAAGGUUUGAAGUUCCUCCAGAUGUUUUCUUCCCCCCAAGGAUGUGGUAAGGUCUGUGUCCAGUUUGGGUUUGGAACUUGGAUAUCCUGAUCCCCAGAUCUCGGCUUACACCAUUUCUUUUCGUUCUUCUUCCCCGAUACAGUUUGGAUGUAGCUACAAUAAGUGGGAAAAUUCUUUGCACACGUUCAAAGGUAAAUGCUUAGAUGCGGCUACUGAAUUUAUAAAUAACCCCCAGAGCUGUGCCAGGGCCCUGCGGGCACCACAGGCUCUAUCGGUUAUAAGGCUGCUUGGCUGGAAGGACCUGGAUCUGCUCAAUAGCUGCGGAGCCUUCGUGACCAAACCCAUCCGUGUUGGUACCUGUUUGAAGGUUGUUUCUUAUUGUUCUGUGUGUUUUGUUUUAACGUGCAAGUGUAUCUCUGUGUUGUAGCUAGGUUUGGGCACCACAGCAAGGAACAUGGGAGGGUUAUGUUUCAUUCUAAUGAGGAAGAAGGAGCUGGAAGCUCCCAUCGGUGCAAAAAAUGAAAUGGGUCUAUUUUGGAAGUGGCAGGAGAGUUACAGACACACAGAAUAAUAAUAUGAACGUUACCAGUCCACAGGCAUAUGGGACAAGAGCACCUACUGUCAGGCUGGCGUGUGUGUAGAAGGCAUAGGUAGAUAUUGCCUGUGUUCCCUUAAGCAGUAUCUUAUAACAGUUCAUUGGUUUCUUUUGAUUCCAACCAGCAUUUGGUUGUUAGUCUUAGUAGCAAUUGUACUGAUUUUAAUAGUAAUCACUGUCUGUCACCGUUCUCACAUGAACCGUUACAGAUUUUUAUUAACUUUGUGCCAUAAACCAAAUACUUCGUAAACAUGCUAUCAAAGGAUGCCCUGCUUUCUUAAUAAGAGACCCCACAUUAGGUAAUUAAACAUCAAAUGCAGCAUAAGGACAAAGACCUAGCAUGCUUUUAUAGCACUUCUAAGGGUAAAUCUUGCGUUUGCUGGAAUCGAUGGCAGUAAUUUUCUUCUGAUUUCUCAGUUCUAAAAAGGGAUUUCAUAUUUUCCUAUUCCAUUCACAGAAUUAAAGAGGGAGAGCACUGCAAAACCGUAGCCCUUCUGCUGGCUGGAAGGUGAACUUGCUGGCCAGUUUUGCAUGGUCGUGUAAACGGUGGGGCUGGCAGGCGGCACCAGAAGCUGCGCACAGGGUGUGAAAUCCUACGGUUCUGUUUUCUUUGGAUAGCUUUGGCUGUAGGAAGGUGGGAGUUGCUGCGGGGGGUUGUAGCAAGAGCCUCAUCUCAUCCUUUCUCCAGUCUCAGAGUAGCCACCUGCUUUCUAAGGACUCUUGCAGAGAACAGUUACAGAGGUACCUGCCUAAAGAGAAAGCUUCCAGCCAUGGGCAAGUGUCUGACACGGGCCACAUUUAUGCAGAUCUUUUAUCCUGUUCAUAUAACUACAGAUGUUCUCUGUGAGGCAAAUUGUCAGUUGCCAUCAUUCCAGUGGCUUCAGUGGAGUUAUGACAAUUAAUCCCUCCGAGAGCCUGCUCUGCUCGCUCUGCGACAGCCUGCUUCUGAAACCCCCUCACCUUUCUGCCCAUGAAAGUACAGGCUGUCAUCUCCUGACCUCAUAUGCCAAGAUUCAGACAACUCGACUGAGGCACUUGAUUUAGGCAUCAGAACUGUCGUAAGAAGGAAUUCCCUCUCUAGUCUGUGGACAGAACUGGCUACCACCACCGAGGGAUCCCGGGUGUCGAAGGGAGGCACCGUCCUCUCCCCACUGGCUGCAGAGGGGCCCUAAGUGGCAUCGGAAGGCAAUUUUGGAGUUCUUGCUUUAGUCUUGAUCACCAACUUGAGAUGGGCUGUUGUCGUCGUUUAACCCCAGCCGGCAGCUCAGCCCCACGCAGCCGCUCGCUCACUCCCCUGGUGGGGUGGGGGAGAGGAUCAGAAGGGUAAAGGUGAGGAAACUCGUGGGUUGAGGUAAUGACAGUUUAACAGGCAAAGCAAAAGCCGCCCACAAGCGCAGCAAACCAGGGAACUCAUUCCCCCCUUCCCGUGGGCAGGCAGGGCUCAGCCACCCCCAGGAGAGCAGGGCUCCAUCACGCCUAGCGGUGACGGGGGAAGGCAAACGCCAUCCCUGCCAGCGUCCCCCUUCCCCCUCCUCCCCCAGCUCCGUGUGCUGAGCAUGACGCCGUGUGGUGUGGGGCAGCCCUGGGGGCAGCUGGGGUCACUGUCCUGGCCGUGUCCCCCCCAGCCCCUUGUGCCCCCCCAGCCCCUCGCCGGUGGGGUGGGUGAAGGGUGGGAAAGGCCCUGCCUCUGUGCAAGCCCUGCUCAGCAGGGACGAAGCCGUCCCUGGGUUAUCAGCACUGUUUCCAGCACAACUCCAGACCACAGCCCCGUACCAGCUACCGUGAAGAGAAUUAACUCCGUCCCAGCCAAAACCAGCACAGCUGUGUAGCCCGUCAGCAAUGCCCUGCACGUCUCUGGACCUGGUGGGCCUGAUCCGGGGCUGCACGCCAGGAUUCUGCAUCAGCACACGACCAGAGACGACUGACUCUGAAGUCCUUCACGUACAGGGGUGGGGCUCUAUGGAGCAUCAGUGAAUCCUCUGUGGGACUUCACUGCCACUAUUGCAUCAGAUACAAACCUGAGGGGUAUACGGAUAGUCUUAAUCUCACCUUGAAGCUAUUAGGAAGUUUUUCAACUUCUUCAGCCCCAAUAAAGUGGAUGUCACCCUGCCUGUAACAGAUGAUUUUGUUGAUAUAUUCAAAUGAGGUGGCUAAUUUUUCCUUAGGGUAAAAAAAUGUAUGAAAUUCCCAUAUCAUCUGAUACAAGUAAAGAGUCUGUAACUUCUUUCUCAUUCAUUUUCAUCCAGUUUAUCUGUUUGAGUUGGAGCUCAAUUCAUUUUCUCAGGAUUAGGGCUUCUUUAAGGCCCGCUUCUUGCCAUCCUUCUGCUAAAACCAGCCGGUUUUCUGGAGAACAGCGAUGAGGCCACUUAAUUUGUAACUCUUUUCAGAAGCCUUAUACAUUCUGUGAGGUUGUUUACUCUGCUUUUAUUUCCAUUGCCGAUUUGAUUAGCUCGGCCUUUCAUACUUUUCUUUCUUUACUGGAAGAUACAGCUCUGAAGUAUGUAUCCCUACAGUACGAGCUCUGAGACAAAUAAAUCAGUUGGCUUCUUUGCAGUGUCUCUCCUUGGAUUAGUUGCUCUCUGUCCUUUCUACAAGGACUCGUAGCAUCAGGCUCAGAUUAGCUUCUCUUGAUUGGAUCAUCUGUCUUGUAAAAGACAUCCUCUGCUCUUCCUGGCUGCUCUGAGCGUGCUGCUUAAAAGCUGGUGUUCAUGGAGAUGCCUAAGAGAGCCUUAGCUUCAAUCCUUAGGACAAUUUGCUCUCCAACAGUGUAAGCAGCCCCAACUUUCUUUUGAAGCCCAAGGAUGUGACUUUAGGUUAGAGAACAUGGAACACUUGAGAGAAAAUUAGCGCUCUUUUGUACUAUUAAAAGUAAUGUAAUCACUGGUGAUCACUAAUAAACCACGCCACUUGUUGGGCAGGUUCUGCCUUUGAGGGCAUUGGAAUAAAGACUUCAGCAAUAGAAAGACUGAGACAACUACACUUAGGUAAUUUAGGACAGGGACUUCUCUGAGGAGGCAUAACUGGAGGCUCUAGCUGUCUUCAAGGUAACCUAGAAUAUAUCCCUUACUUUGUUAAUUCCUUUCCUGUGGGAUACUAUAAUCCAUUUCAUAUGGUGAUAGGACAGAAAAUGAUGACCUGAAGCUAAGGCGGCAAAAAUUUAAGCUAAACGUCAGUAAAAUUAUUCAGGAGCUCUAAAAGUUAGCACCAAGAAAAGGUACAAAUGUUGGAGGGAUUAAGCACCCUUUCUUAAGGGAAUCAAAUCUGGCAGCGCUUAAGGAUGACACACUAACACCCCAGUGUUAUUUAGAACACAUUUAGCGUAUCAGAGAGAGCAUCAGUGUUUUAGAGAGCCAAAGCACUCUGUAUAGUUGUUGGGGAGGAAAAGUAUUAGGCUCCUUAGCAGUGGUGGUAGGGUAGCACGUAUUUAUCACCGCAGCAAAUGUUGCCAGGAUCGGCAUUAUUUUUUUGUCAUUUGGUGGCCAGGGAACGUGUUGGGUGGGAGCAAAGUUCCCAAAAGCAAUAGGGAGCACUGGUCUGGUUUGGUUUCUGGAAACAAGUAAAACCAGGUACAGGCCAGAUUUUGUUUUCUGAAGUAAAUAAACCUAAGAAUGAGUUUAACUAGUUACACCCAACAGAAUAACCUGUCAGAUUAAAGUCAUUUACAAGUCAGUAGCGAGGUCUGUGCAGGGAGUUUAAAAGAGACGCUAAUAUUUUAAAGCCGAGAACUCAGAAAUUAGGAGAGAGCAGGAUUACCGUUUCUCAGAAAUGUUAAUCUGUUGAGAGCACAGGACUGCCAGCGCAAGCCAGCAGUAGGCUUUGGUCUGUUUCAGCCUCGGUCAGUCACCUUUAGGAUGAGGUUUAACUGGCAUCGAUAAACGCCCCAGCCUAAAAAUAGAGAUGGCCAAAAUGUUUCCUUCUGUACAGGUUUUCUUCGCUGGGAUGCUCGCUGAGCCGAGCAGAGGCAUCUGCUGCUGCUGCGCCAUAUUUGUGCGUAUCUUGUGUAUCUCCGUCUCUCGGACUGAAAGGUGAAAUGCUGGUUGUUUAUUUUCCUUGCUGCUUUUGGGUUCCCUUUCGCUAAUUCAACCUCCAGGGGUCCCCUUAAUUCAGAGGGGGGCACAUGUUUUUGAAAGGUUUCAGAAACCACUGUCUGUGGCAUAUUGUGAAACGCUUCUUUAACGUUAAGCUUAUUUUCCAAAGACCUAAAUAUUCCAGUAUCACUGUUUUAAACUGUGCGUCAUUAUGUGUAUCGCCGACAGCAAGAAUUAAACCAGAAGAGGUCAGGCUUGUCUGGCUUCACAGUGAAAGAGUGACUAAAGGAUACUGGAGGAGCUGAGAGGUUUGUUUCUAUGGGUAUGAAGUCCUUUGGAAAUGGAAAAACCCACCUUUGCAGCUCUCUUGGUGCUCUUGCUCAGCAGAGCUGCAAACAAAUUGGUCUCUGACACCUUAUUUAGGGGCCUGUUACCGAUGAGAAUUCUGCUGGCGUGAAGAUGCAAAGCUAAAAAGGGGCUUGGUCUGCCGUGAUCUCCUGUCCUGAAGCUACUCUGCACUCACAAAAUCCUGUACCUUUCAAUACACCAGACUGAAAACGACCCAAUAAAUCAAACCAGAGGAAAGGAUUUCAGUUUGUUCUUUACUUAGGUGGAAGGUUAAAGUUAUCGAGGUAAAUGUAGCUCUUCUGAAGCCAAGAAAAUGUGCCAUGAAAUAACCUUCAACCAUGAGUUUUGUCCUGAAGGCUGUGCUUAACAUACCUAUCAUGUUUAAUUGGCUUUUUUUUUCUGCAGGGUACAGGUCAACUCACUGAUUAAAGAUCAUACUGGAAGUAGGCCAGGCUUCACUUUAUUUUGGUGGACAAAAAUGGGUUGAAAGGGAACGGAAAGGUUAAAAUAUUCCCUUAUUUAUUUGGAAAACAUGAACUGAACAAGGCCAUACUGGACCAGCACCUGAAAAGCCAAGAAGUAAGGCAAACUCUAAAUACCAAGGGAAGCGAAACCAAUACGUCGGUGUGCGAUCAGACGAAACGAGGUGGUGAUACGAACUCGUGUUUUACUGCUGAGCAACAAAGGCAGUGAAGAAGGAGGAAUAUUCCUCGGCACAUCCUAGGUACGACCGUUACUAAAGCCACCGGUGAUGCACGACGAUCUUCCCUCCGGGUCCCCAAAGACCGGCUGUUUCUCUGGAGACCGUGGCCAGCCGUCGCGUGCCGGGCGGAGCAGGCAGCGAGAAGCAGCGCGCGGUCUGACAGCGGGCUCGGUGCUGCCCUGUGCCGACGGAGCAGCCCCGCUCGACGUCCGGCUCAGCUUCGCUGCUUGCCGCUGCAACACAAGGCGAGCCCCAGCGUGUGCUUCGGGGCUCCUUGGCACCCCUGCCCUGCGCAGUUGUUAAUUUAACGGCUACGUUACAGAAGGUGGCAGCUGUUGUUUUUGAUCUGAAUGCAGUGCUGAUUUCUCUCAAGGAGUCUUCGUCCCCGUAAUUAGGAGGGAACAGAAAGAAUACUGUUCUGGAACCAUCUCGUGAUAUUUUUACUGCAUCCUACUCAUCUUUUUUUAUUUUUUUUUCCUGACAGAGGGUACUGUAUCUUAAUUAUCUUUUGGCAAAUCGUUAUUUUUUCCAGUUUACCGUUUCGUAUGUUUGAAACUGAAGCUCUUUAUAGCCUCCCCUUUUACUUGCUUCUCUCUAAAUGCAUUUUAGGGUUGCUUGCAAGGGACAAACAGACAAACAGACGCAGACAUCCCUUUUUAGGAAAAAUGGAGAAAUAGAAUGCACACUCCUCUUUUUUCUUUCCUCUCAGACAUAGUCACGCACAUUUUACCAUUAUUAUCUGAUUAUUGUGGAGAAACAGAACGGAAAGAAGCAAAAAGAGAGACGAUAAAUACGCCUCAAACCCACUUUUUUCUGACUAGGUUGCUCGGUAUGGCCGUAUGCGAUGGCGGUUGUGUGGAGUAAGGUGUAAGGUCCGCAGGGCAUCACUGUUCAACAGAAGCAAGCAGGUAUUGCAGCGUGCUCAGAACGCCGACGGGGAACCUGCUUCCCAGUACGUUCCAAGCGGUUCCCUGCAGUUAUAUUACAGUCCUCAAUCCCUCAUUUGCGUCUCAUCCAGGGAUGAUUUUCAUCGCCCUGUGAAACGAUUUGAGGUUUUGCUUUUCCGGCGAACAAAGCUAAAACAGACUGUAGAAAUUUAUCACGGUUUCUACAUGUUAAACGAGUGAAUCUCCGUUUCAGGAGCGCACAAGAACGGCUAGAUUUGAGAUCCCGGUGCGAGGUGGCCGUGGGGGGCAAGUUACAGCAUGGUCGCUCUCGGUGCCAUGGAAACAGCAAAACUGCAGUAAUCUCUUUUGGCCGGGCCUGUGGGUCCCUUCAGAGUUCAUCCCUGUUCAUAAAAGAGUUCCAGAAGAAUGUAGAAGACCAGUAAGUCCAUCAGCGUGCAGAGGCAUUUUGCGAGCCAGCUGGCAAGGCUUGGGCAGGUCCCACCGGAUCUCGGAAUGAACGGUACGAGACGAACGUAAAUGCGAAUUCUUGGAGAAAGGCUAACGGCCAGAUUCUGCUCUCUGCUUCGUUAAACGUGGAGGGAUUUCAGCGUAAUCAGCAGCCUCGUUCUAGUUUUAUGCUCAGGCUGGAUCCUCUGCAACGGGGGGAAGGUCCAGGCGCUGCGUGCAGGUCACCGCUGCGAUAACCCGCUGCUUGUUCUGCCACGGUGCUGCUUCCGAACAGGGUGAAACCCUCCACCUCCUCGUGUACCUCAGCCCCGAGCUGGCGAGAAAUCUGAUGCUGUGAAGAGCCAGAAAGUGACUUUUAAGCUGCGGAAGUCCCUCAGUCCUUGACGUCGCCAGAGAUAACACCAAGAGCCACUUACAGGGCUGCCUCGCGCUGACAUGCGAGUACUGCUGCAAGGAAUACCCGUUCGUUUCCAGCUGCCCCAGGAAACAUUUGGUUCUCCUGAAGCACUUCCAGGAGCGCACAGAUCGUGUUUCUUCUUGUCAGCUCUUGGCAGCACCAGCACUCAUCCGAAGUAGCUGUCUCCCCUUAACUAACCUGGAGUCAGGCAGAAAACUUGUGUGGCACUCGAAUUGAGGAGAGGGAUAACACGGGCAGGACAGGAGGUGCGCAGCGGGGUUCCGACGGUGAGGGGCACUUGGGCAGCGUGAGCACUGCCCACCUAAGGGCUGGCUGAGGGAUCUUCUCCGUCCCGUUUUCUGCGAGCAGCAGGGAAGCCGCGAGGUAGGGAAGCUAACACGGCGGCCGUAAGGUGGACUGGUAUUUUGGAGCAGCUGCAUUUAAUUGGACUAUGCAGAAGGCUCCCGGCAGGCUUUCAUUGUUCUUGCACUUCCAUCAGGAGUAACGGUGGUCUAAAUGUGGAAGGGAGGACGGCGGGAGAAGAGGGGUGUCGCAGGAUUGCUGCCGUACCACUGACUGGUCAGAGCUCUACGUCUGCCCCUGUUUCAGGGACAAGGGCAUGUUACUUUAACUCUGUGUUUUGUUUAAGGCUUUAUUGUUUUUGAGGCAUCGAUGGAUAAUGAUAAGCAUGGAGAAAAAGGCACCUCUUCUCAGCCACAAGGUAGUUAGGAGGCGUUGUGUCUUCCUCUCCAUCUGCUCAGGAGCAAGGUCGUGAGUUAGGCAGGCGCUGGACCAAAGAAGGUCAAACCUUUGGUUCUCUCCUUGGCUCGUGGUCAGCUGAGGCGUUUACACACAGCCCUGUUAAACUGCCUGAGCUACCGUCCUUAAGGCUUGGGUGUAUCUCUGUAUCUCUGCCAGGGCCUCUCGUCAGCAGGUUCCAAGAUGGCCCUUGUUUGAAGAGCCGUUAGUAAAUGAAAGUAGCUCUCUUUCCACCCUGGAAACUCUUUCUUCCCCCAGUAUCUCCUGGGUCAUAUACGGGGGCUGCUGUUCCAAGCCCAGCUUCACAUUUCAAUGUAAUUAGAUUGUCAUCCCUGUCUCUGUCUUAAUUAAAUAACAAGCCAAGCAUAGGCAGAUAGGAGACUCAACACUGCUGGGCUGUCAGCUUCGGGGAGGAGAUCCAGGCAAUUUGGUUUAACGGGACAGUUUUUUACCAGCUUUUCUUCCCCUUUGACAGAUGACUGCUUAUUUUCUCCUGCCUGAUAACGUGAAAAAAAUAUUGUGAAUGAACAAUUGUUUGCUGCAAUUUGUUUAAAAAUAUACUUUUGAGCACAGCUAGCGUAGGCAGCGGUUGUCUUCUCGGACUAGUCCCGGGGUGGCGUCCCUCUGGAGCAGGUGCCUUGCUGCUUGAGGAGGAGUUUGGCCAUGGGGUAACAUAAUGCCUCCCCCUUGCUUUUUUAAAUAGUUGAGUCUGAGAGAACAGGAAAGCUGCUGCCUUUCACUGCGUUCAGUUCCUGCCCUCUCAUUCCCUCUUCUUCCCUCCCUUCCAUCCCCUCAAAUCUCUAGAUGCCUCCUGCCUCCCCUUCUGCCAGCAGGGACAGCGAGGCUGUGAGAGCCGAUAGACACGGGGGUGCCGCGGAGCUCCCCGACAUCGCCCACUGCUCCGAGACCCCGCCGAUACCUGCACCGGCCCUGCACCAGAACCGCCGAGGCUCGGCAUCGCGCCUGGCCCGCGAUGCGGGGCAGACUCCCAAUGUGUCAGCCACUGCAUGGUCUGCUCAGUGCUGUUUGGAGGCUGGGAAGUGCUCUAGACCGUGGUUACACCCUGAACAGUUUGGAUGUGAGACAACCGACGACUCGGAGCUGCAGCAUUUUGGCACAGGGAAAGGGCACCCGCUGCUGCUAGAGAACUCAGUGCUUCGUAGAUGAAAACCAAACAUCUUGAAUUCCACCUGGAGCCCGCUGGCAGCGAACGCAGGGCCCAGAGCACUUACGUGGUGUUUUCUGACGGCGACACGAGGCUUGGUGGGUUUUGCUACGUGGCUUCCAUCCCGCUGUCCCACCCAAGCGGCCUUUCUUGAACAAAAGCCUGGGUCUUCGAUGCCCUGCGCUUCGGACGACCUUUAACAACCUGAGCUUAGUGAGAGAAACAAACUGCCAGAGGACGCAAUUAGCUUAAAUUUACCUGAAACCAAAAUCUUACCCAGUGACAUGAAUGAAUCCCGAGUGGUUCAUGCCUGGAAGGAGUUUCAGCAAGUGGAGAUCAAGUCGCUUUUCAGCUCAGGUGCUCUCAGUCUUGAUACCCCUGUCAUUUGCCAGCUGCCACCCUGUUUUCCUCAAGAAAGGCUCCACCAGCCUAAGCUUGGCCCAAGGUCCUCCCUGCAUUAAGACCAGGGUAUGCGGAUAUAGAACUGGAUUUGUCCGAUGGAACAGACAUUUUGGGUGAUGCUCUGGAUUAUCCUUCGGUAACUUCGCGAUGCGGAAGGCUUGGCUUGUUCACUGGCCUGGGCCUGAUGAUCAGCGAUAGACCGGAGGCGUCCCAGGGAUCCCACCCGGCAAAUAAACAAGAUCAGACAAGAGGGUGUCAGUCUGCAUGUCCCGACGAGUGGUCUGUGCGUCAGGAUUUGAGGCAGCCGGUGGGUCAGAAAGCAAGGUCCAAGUCCUGAGCGACCGGGGCUUUCCUUUGGAGUCUGUGUAACCGCGUGCUUGUGUGGAGGCAGAGAUUACACAAACGAGUGGGAGACGGGGUACUGUUAUUUAUGUUACAGGCUCAUCCUGUACGUGCGAAGUGCUGGAUGCACAGACCGCGAUUCAGAACCCGGGUGCUGUUGGUGUACGUGCCGCAGCGUGCCGAGAGCCGAGCGAGCCGCCCGCCUGGCAGGGUUUGGCGCUGGUCCUGAAUGUCACGCGACGCUUCAGCCCCAGGCAGCAGGCCAUGGCCGGCCGGGACCCACCGAAGGUUGGAAGAAGAAAGGCAACAGCGCUAGGAAAGCCAAUAUUUAAAAUCCAAAUCCGAUUCGGGAAAAAUAUUUCCCACCUUUAUGAUGAGCCUGGGAUUUGAAAGCCGCCACACCUUAAAGCGUGCAGGUUGCAAACCUGCACUGAUUGUGCGUGCUGCCGCUGCGAGCGGAGGAACAGCGAUGCUGUGUGUCCUUCGUGCCUGGCUUAAUACUGCCGCCCUAUGAACCUGUUUACAAGCAAAUAAUCCACAAAGAAAUUGGACGGGUUUGGUUAAUAACGCUCGGCAAACAGCAUGGCCUGGGUAUCAAUGUCAUGGUCUGAUCCCUAGGCAACAGCUUCUCCUCCGCCUCAUAGUGUUGCUCUUUCUGAAAUGGGAGGGAUAAAAGUGUAUUAAUAAGAACCCCAGCAGGCUGUAAAGACGGCUCACGGCUUGGGAAGAGGGUGCUGCUGUAUCUUCACUAAUAAAUCAGGAUCAUUAUUGCAGCAGGGGAGAGAAAGAGAACCCAGAGCAAAGGCAUCUGCUGUGAAUUAUGUCUCCGAGCCUGCUGGAGCUCUCUGUCUUCCCGAAGCACUUGCUUCAGCUAAGCCACAGAGCCUGCCAGCAGCCAUUAAUCCCCUCCGCUCCUGCCGGAAAGCUGAGGCUGGGCCGAGGCAAACAUUUCUUGUGUCUGACAGUGUGGGUUUGUGGGUUUUUUUUUUUCCUUUUUAAUACUUGCUGUAAUGAGAAGAGCCCAGAAGCGCUCGGAGUGCUUUCCGCAGGGCCGACGGACGUGUGUGUCAACGCAAGAAAAUACAAAAGCCGGUGAAGCUUUCCCUUUGUGCAAGUUCAGUCGCCCCCUCUGGCUCCGAAUACAUGUGCACAUCGAGCGGAGUGGCAGCUGCUGAGCACAGGGACUUAACGCCAGCGCGUGUCUCUACAGCAUUUCCUAUACAGUGCUUUUCCUUCGGGGGGACUGGGUGGGGGGGCGUGGGGGGAAUAGCAGUAGUCAAACUGCUGAAUUCAUUAGUUUUCUGAUUUCACCCAGACUUGUUAAGACACAAAUGCCCUGAAUGUGAUUUUCUAAGAGUAAUCCUGACUCAUGCAACUAAUCCUAUUUGGGUUUUUUUUCUUUAUUUUUUUUUUAAUGGGAGGGGAAACACCAAAGGGGCUUUUUUUUUUUUUAGCUUGAAAGCUCGCUUGGACAAAGCUGUCUUUAUACCCUGGUAAUGUGAUGCAAGAACCACGGCCUGAAGGCCUGUUUCGGGUGAUGCGUGCUAACGUAACACAGCAUGUCAGAGAGUAUUUUCCAGACAUUUACUCGGUAUUUAUGUCAGCUUUUCCCAGGGUUUACCACGGUGCGGUACUAGCACUUACGUGAGUACGAGCUUGCAUUUUUCAGCCAGUAAAACCGUAUGGAUUUGUCUGACAGUCCUUUGCUCCUCAGCAAAGAAGGUGGAACUCGAACCCUCGAUAACUGAGUCUGUAUAUUUUAAGAUGUGAGUCACAAGAAUAGAUUUGACCCGCUUUUUCUAUAAAAUGACACACCUGAUGCCAGCAGGCCCUCGCUGAGGGGUCUGUCCCCAUCAGACCUAAGGAUGUCAUUAAGAAGCUGUGUUGGACGGGCGAGGGUGGUAACAGGACACGCUGCUUUAUGUCCUGCGCGUUUUCAGCACCCUCGCUCUGACACUGCCUCCCUCCCCUGCUAGUCUGGAACCAAAACACCGGAUUCCUGACAGCCGUCACAUGGCAGUUACGAAGGGGCUGGGUCUCCUCCAGCUCUUUGUUCGGAGGGAGCCCGAUACCUUGGCACGGCAGUGCAGAGCAGGGGUAGGUCUCAGCACGGCUUUUCUCCUCCGAGGAGACCGAUUGCAGACAAAUCGUUCCCGAAUGGACACACCCAGCAGCUGGGCAGGUUCGGAAGCUCCGGCUCUCAAGCUGCUCUGCCUUGCACGAAGCGUGUUUGGAUGACCGGGGCCGGGCAGAAUGAAUGAAAUUCUCAUCCCCAAAAUGUUGAUUUGCAGUGCCUCAUGGCAGCGCUCUUGAGAAGCUCAGAAAGAGCUGUGUGCUGGAUGUUUACCAAGUGCUGAAUAAUGCGUAGUAGUGAAUCACACACAGAUUUCCCUUUCUUCCUAUUAGAAUUAUCGUAAGCGAUAAUAUGAUUGACCCAGAAGAAAACCAACUCCAACAGGUGAUGGUAUUAGGGGACUCCCUAUCUAAUAGCCAAAGCUUAAACACCGAGUUUACUGUUUCCAACAAGUUUUAACUGCAGUGCAUUACAGCAAGUGGUGUAGGAAGAUCUUUCCUGUAAGGAAAACAAAAAAGAAGGUGGUAAAAAUGGAUGCUUAAAUGUUACAGUAGCUCAUUUAAAUGCAGAGUUUGUUUGCUGUAGAGAUGGAACCAACGAUAACAUAUGGUGACAGGUAACAUGAGAGAGGAUGGUGAACAGGUUUUUCUGAAUAAUACCUAACGAACUAGAUAAAAAUAAUGGAACAGAAACGCAGUUGAGAGGACACUUGGUAUCACCCGAAACUCCUCCAGAAGGAGGUGUCUCCGCCUGGGUCACAAUCCUGAGCUACCUGGAUAACAGUCCUUUGUUAUUUCUCUCUCCGCAGGCUAGCACGGAGGAAUAAAUAAGCCAUUCCAACCACGUGGAUACUGUUAACAGUUCCUGGCUUAGCUUUGCUUUCACUGUUUCUGUUUUGUUAUCAGAUUGCAUGUGUGAAAAGGAAAAGAGACAAUAUUUCUAAGUUCAAGAGAAGACAAAAAGGUAAACUGAUUGAAGUAGUAAAAUCGAAUGGAUCUAACUUAGAGCUGCCUCCGUCUCUCCAAACAAGAGGAACCCCGUUCCCUGUGGUGAGGAUGGUGGUGUUACUCAUACUGCUAGUAAUCGUGGUCAGGGUAAGGCUCCUUCUCCUGGAGCACCUUCCUCUUCUGCUCUUCUGGUCCCUCCAAACAGUUUCUGCCUCCAGCAUCAAUAACAUUAGGCUGUAAGUCAUUCCAGAGCUUUCCAUGAAGUCGGCAGGUUUGAGGAUCAUUUGUACUCUCCCGGCAAAGGACUGUCACAACUGAUGUCUUACGGGGUUGUUACGCUCUGGAUUUUGCUCUCAUGAGUUACUGCUUUCCCUGCUGCAGAAAUAGCCGUGCGAAGGCAGAGACUGGGGGCUACACGUACCCCACCGCAGCGUGGUAGCACACAAUAAUGCCGCAGCCUGCGGUGCUCCUAGCACAGACAUUGGACAAAACCAGUCCUACAAUGCCCGAUGCAUUACUGAAAGAUGGUUUUCAUUAAAAAAUCACUAAAUGCCACUUUUGAUACGCUGCUGUUACGCACCCGAGCCCAGCUCUGACCAGAUGUGUGGAACAGCAGGCUCCGCUUUGUAGAGCGGGGUUUUCAAGUGCAAAGCGUGUUCCUUUCUGUGAAGCUGCUGCCUGUGCUUCCUGCUGCCUUAGAAAAACACUUCUCAGACCAACCGACUUCCCGGCAAGGACAGAUCGCUGCUGCUGGUUUCCCCGAGACAAGAACACAGGACCUGCACGUUUUUGCCGGUUACUCGUCAUCGCCUCAGUAACACAAAAAUCUCUUUCUCAUCGACCUGAUGUGUGAGACUUCGCAAUGCCUGUAAGGGAGAGACCUCUGGCUUCCACUGCGUGUAAUUUUCUGCUCUUGCAAGGCAAGGCUGGAUGCAGGUCCCCGUGCUGAAAACCCCCACCUCGGGGCGUACAGUCCGCUCGAGAACAGCGCGCUGUGGAAAGCGUUUGUAGGCGUGAGUGAUUUGCCUGAGCGUCUGCUGGAUCUCAAAAAUACUCUGUUUUGUAGGUCCAUAAAGUUAUUUCUCUAGAUAUA